GAUGAAGAACGUAGUGAAAUGCGAUAAGUAGUGUGAAUUGCAGAAUUCAGUGAAUCAUCGAAUCUUUGAACGCACAUUGCGCCCAUUAGUAUUCUAGUGGGCAUGCCUGUUCGAGCGUCAUUUCAACCCUUAAGCCUAGCUUAGUGUUGGGAAUCUGCUGUAUUGCAGUUCCUCAAAUACAACGGCGGAUCUGUAACAUCCUCUGAGCGUAGUAAAUUUUUAUCUCGCUUUUGUUAGGUGUUGCAGCUCUCAGCCGCUAAACCCCCCAAUUUUUGUGGUUGACCUCGGAUCAGGUAGGAAUACCCGCUGAACUUAAGCAUAUCAAUAAGCGGAGGA
rnacentral:misc_RNA from 1 species